CGGUAAUACGUAGGGGGUGAGCGUUGUCCGGAUUUACUGGGUGUAAAAGGCGCGCAGGCGGGUUAGCAAGUCAGAGGUGAAAUCCUACAGCUUAACUGUAGAACUGCCUUUGAGACUGCUAAUCUUGAGUACGGAAGAGGGGGAUGGAAUUCCAGGUGUAGUGGUGAAAUACGUAGAUAUCUGGAAGAACCCCAGUGGCGAAGGCGGUCUCUUGGUCCAUUACUGACGCUAAGGCGCGAAAGCGUGGGGAGCAAACAGGAUUAGAUACCCUGGUAGUCCACGCUGUAAACGAUGAAUACUAGGUGUCGGGUCGAAAGGUUCGGUACCGAAGCUAACGCAUUAAGUAUUCCACCUGGGGAGUACGAUCGCAAGGUUGAA
rnacentral:rRNA from 1 species